rnacentral:snoRNA from 1 species
UCCCUCCAGAUUCCUUAAUCCUGAAACCAAAAUAGUGGUCUAAGUGGCUAAAAAAAAAGAGGAAAAGUAAAAUUUAAAUGGACUUUAAGUCUUUAGUGACAAAUAAGUUCAUCUCAAACAUAC